rnacentral:tRNA from 1 species
AAGAGAAUGUUGAAUCUAAAAGGAGCUGCUAACUAACUUUUAAAGUGGUUAAAUUCCAUUUUUCUCUUA